CCAAUAGCGUAUAUUAAAGUUGUUGCAGUUAAAAAGCUCGUAGUUGAAUUUCGGGAUCAAAGAAUCGGUCAUGCCUUGGUAUGUACUGGUUUUAUUGGUUCUCACCUUCUAAAGAACCAUAAUGUCAUUUAUUUGAUGUUAUGGGGAAUUAGGACUGUUACCUUGAAAAAAUUAGAGUGUUUAAAGCAAGCUUACGCUUGAAUACAUUAGCAUGGAAUAAUGAAAUAGGACAUCAGAUUCUAUUUUGUUGGUUUCUAGGAUCGAUGUAAUGAUUAAUAGG
rnacentral:rRNA from 1 species